AUAGGAUUAGGUAUACCAGGUAGGUUACUGUAUAUGAAGUUUUAUUUUUUUAAAAAGGCACGAAAUAUGACUUUAUUUUUAUAUAGCUUUUUUUUUAAAGUUAUUUCCAUAGCUUUUCAAUUUAAAUAAUAUUUUUUUUGUUUUUAUGUUUUAAAUUAUGCUUAAAUAUUGAAAUUAAAUUUAUAUUUAUUCAAUGUAGAUGCACUUAGUAUCUGAAGUUAUUUGUCAAUGACUGGUGAUCAGACUUUCAAACGAACACGUUUUUAAGGGCUGAGAAGGUGAAAGUUAGAAGUCUGCAGACUGCAACGUAAAUCAAUUUUCAACACAUGGUUUUCUGAAUAUAUUUAGUUUUCGAUUGAAAUGA